UACUGAGUGCUUACUAUGUGCCAGGC
rnacentral:piRNA from 4 species